rnacentral:tRNA from 1 species
UUGGCCGUGGUGUCAGUGGACAGCACGCGGGGCCGUGGCUCCCGAGGGAUGGGUUCGAAUCCCAUCGGCCAAC